GCUCAGAUUGAACGCUGGCGGCAGGCCUAACACAUGCAAGUCGGACGGUAGCACAGAGGAGCUUGCUCCUUGGGUGACGAGUGGCGGACGGGUGAGUAAUGUCUGGGGAUCUGCCCGAUAGAGGGGGAUAACCACUGGAAACGGUGGCUAAUACCGCAUAACGUCGCAAGACCAAAGAGGGGGACCUUCGGGCCUCUCACUAUCGGAUGAACCCAGAUGGGAUUAGCUAGUAGGCGGGGUAAUGGCCCACCUAGGCGACGAUCCCUAGCUGGUCUGAGAGGAUGACCAGCCACACUGGAACUGAGACACGGUCCAGACUCCUACGGGAGGCAGCAGUGGGGAAUAUUGCACAAUGGGCGCAAGCCUGAUGCAGCCAUGCCGCGUGUAUGAAGAAGGCCUUCGGGUUGUAAAGUACUUUCAGCGGGGAGGAGGGCGACGGGGUUAAUAACCCUGUCGAUUGACGUUACCCGCAGAAGAAGCACCGGCUAACUCCGUGCCAGCAGCCGCGGUAAUACGGAGGGUGCAAGCGUCAAUCGGAAUUACUGGGCGUAAAGCGCACGCAGGCGGUCUGUUAAGUCAGAUGUGAAAUCCCCGGGCUUAACCUGGGAACUGCAUUUGAAACUGGCAGGCUUGUGUCUUGUAGAGGGGGGUAGAAUUYCAGGUGUAGCGGUGAAAUGCGUAGAGAUCUGGAGGAAUACCGGUGGCGAAGGCGGCCCCCUGSACAAAGACUGACGCUCAGGUGCGAAAGCGUGGGGAGCAAACAGGAUUAGAUACCCUGGUAGUSCACGCCGUAAACGAUGUCGACUUGGAGGUUGUUCCCUUUGAGGAGUGGCUUCCGGAGCUAACGCGUUAAGUCGACCGCCUGGGGAGUACGGCCGCAAGGUUAAAACUCAAAUGAAUUGACGGGGGCCCGCACAAGCGGUGGAGCAUGUGGUUUAAUUCGAUGCAACGCGAAGAACCUUACCUACUCUUGACAUCCACGGAAUUUGGCAGAGAUGCCUUAGUGCCUUCGGGAACCGUGAGACAGGUGCUGCAUGGCUGUCGUCAGCUCGUGUUGUGAAAUGUUGGGUUAAGUCCCGCAACGAGCGCAACCCUUAUCCUUUGUUGCCAGCGAUUCGGUCGGGAACUCAAAGGAGACUGCCGGUGAUAAACCGGAGGAAGGUGGGGAUGACGUCAAGUCAUCAUGGCCCUUACGAGUAGGGCUACACACGUGCUACAAUGGCGCAUACAAAGAGAAGCGACCUCGCGAGAGCAAGCGGACCUCACAAAGUGCGUCGUAGUCCGGAUCGGAGUCUGCAACUCGACUCCGUGAAGUCGGAAUCGCUAGUAAUCGUGGAUCAGAAUGCCACGGUGAAUACGUUCCCGGGCCUUGUACACACCGCCCGUCAUACCAUGGGAGUGGGUUGCAAAAGAAGUAGGUAGCUUAACCUUCGGGAGGGCGCUUACCACUUUGUGAUUCAUGACUGGGGUGAAGUCGUAACAAGGUAACCGUAGGGGAACCUGCGGUUGGAUCACCUCCUUA
rnacentral:rRNA from 1 species